rnacentral:rRNA from 1 species
CGCGUAGGUGGUUUGUUAAGUUGGAUGUGAAAGCCCCGGGCUCAACCUGGGAACUGCAUCCAAAACUGGCAAGCUAGAGUACGGUAGAGGGUGGUGGAAUUUCCUGUGUAGCGGUGAAAUGCGUAGAUAUAGGAAGGAACACCAGUGGCGAAGGCGACCACCUGGACUGAUACUGACACUGAGGUGCGAAAGCGUGGGGAGCAAACA